CAGAAGUAGUUGAAUGGGCUAUUGGU
rnacentral:piRNA from 1 species